rnacentral:rRNA from 1 species
GACGUAGGGGGCGAGCGUUGUCCGGAUUUAUUGGGCGUAAAGCGUGCGUAGGCGGCUGCUCAAGUCGGUUGUGAAACCCCGGGGCUCAACCCCGGAACUGCAUCCGAUACUGCGUGGCUAGAGGUAGGUAGGGGAGAUCGGAAUUCCUGGUGUAGCGGUGAAAUGCGCAGAUAUCAGGAGGAACACCGGUGGCGAAGGCGGAUCUCUGGGCCUUACCUGACGCUCAGGCACGAAAGCUAGGGGAGCGAACAGG